rnacentral:rRNA from 1 species
UUCGCAGGGGGUCUGCCAAGUCUGAUGUGAAAUUCCAUGGCUCAACCAUGGACGUGCAUUGGAUACUGUCGGACUAGAGUUCCUGAUGGGAAAGCGGAAUUCCAGAUGUAGCGGUGGAAUGCGUAGAUAUCUGGAAGAACACCGGUGGCGAAGGCGGCUUUCUGGCAGGAUACUGACCCUCAUGGACGAAAGCGUGGGUAGCGAACA